UGAGGAAUAUUGGUCAAUGGACGCGAGUCUGAACCAGCCAAGUAGCGUGAAGGAUGACUGCCCUAUGGGUUGUAAACUUCUUUUAUAAGGGAAUAAAGUGAGGGACGUGUCCCUUUUUGUAUGUACCUUAUGAAUAAGGAUCGGCUAACUCCGUGCCAGCAGCCGCGGUAAUACGGAGGAUCCAAGCGUUAUCCGGAUUUAUUGGGUUUAAAGGGAGCGUAGGUUGACAUAUAAGUCCGCUGGGAAAGUUUACGGCUCAACCGGGAAAGUGCAGUUGAUACUGUAUGUCUUGAGUGUACAAGAGGUGGGCGGAAUUCGUGGUGUAGCGGUGAAAUGCUUAGAUAUCACGAAGAACUCCAAUUGCGAAGGCAGCUCACUGGGGUACAACUGACACUGAGGCUCGAAAGUGUGGGUAUCAAACA
rnacentral:rRNA from 1 species